AAAAAUUUAGUUAAAUUUAUAACGUUAGCUUGUCAAGUUAAAAUAAUUCUUAAAUAGAAUAAUUUUUA
rnacentral:tRNA from 2 species